rnacentral:tRNA from 1 species
GCCUGGGUGGCUCAGUCGGUUGAGCGUCCGACUUCCGCUCAGGUCAUGAUCUCGCAGUCUGUGAGUUCGAGCCCCACGUCGGGCU